ACAAUAUUUUGCUGCCCAUAUUGUUCCUGGAUGUUAACAAUAUUGUUCUGAAUCAGCAUUCUUCAUGCAGGCUGAACAAUGCUGAACAUGUCAAUAUCGUUAACAACCAGGAACAAUAUGGGCAGCAAAAUAUUGCAU